rnacentral:rRNA from 1 species
ACUGACAGCCAUGGUUACCGCGGCUGCUGGCACGGAGUUAGCCGGUGCUUCUUCUGUGAGUGAUGUCCUUCCUGCCGGCUAUUAACCCGCAGGCCUUCUUCCUCACUGAAAGUGCUUUACAACCCGAAGGCCUUCUUCACACACGCGGCAUGGCUGGAUCAGGGUUGCCCCCAUUGUCCAAUAUUCCCCACUGCUGCCUCCCGUAGGAGUCUGGGCCGUGUCUCAGUCCCAGUGUGGCUGAUCAUCCUCUCAGACCAGCUACGGAUCGUCGCCUUGGUGAGCCGUUACCUCACCAACCAGCUAAUCCGACAUAGGCUCAUCCGAUAGCGCGAGGCCCGAAGGUCCCCCGCUUUCCCCCGUAGGGCGUAUGCGGUAUUAGCCUGGGUUUCCCCAGGUUAUCCCCCAUACCGGGCAGAUUCCUAUGCAUUACUCACCCGUCCGCCGCUCGCACCAGGGAGCAAGCUCCCCGUGCUGCCGCUCGACUUGCAUGUGUUAGGCCUGCCGCCAGCGUUCAAU